rnacentral:tRNA from 1 species
GUAGCUGUAGCUCAGUGGUAGAGCACCUGCCUACCAUGUGUGAGACACUGGGUUCGAUCCUCAGCACCACA